ACGUCUAAGGCCCGGGCGGACUGGUACCCCGACGUCGUGCGUUCGCGCCGACGAAGGGGGAAACCUCCGGUGUCCUGGCUGCCCUGCGACGGUCGUGCAGCUGAGGAGCAAUGUUCUCUUCCUCUCGCGGCGUGCAAAAGGUCGGUGACCCACCCGACCCGUCUUGAAACACGGACCAAGGAGUCUAACAUGUGUGCGAGUCAUUGGGCGCACUAAACCCAAAGGCGAAAUGAAAGUGAAAGGAGGGCGUCCCGGGGCCUUCGGGUCUCGGUCGGCGCUCUCCGGGGCCGAUCCCUGGACGCUGUUGCCGUCGGGCUUCCCAUACCAAAGCGCGGUCACUCCAAAGGGGGCGCGCGCGGGGUGAGUCUCCUUUCCCCCGCGCUGCUCCCGGCCGCGUGGGUUCCCGGCGCGCACGACGGACCGCCCACUAGCUGGGCGCCUGUACGCAGGGGGGCGCAGGCCCGGGACUUGCCAUUCGACGCCGUCGCGCAAAUCUGUUGUUGGCCUCGCCGGCUUUGCUUGGGCUCUCGGUUGGUGCGCCGUUGCGCCAGGCGGGCUCUGGGUGGGGAGUUUCAAACCUCCUCGCUCGGGUUCGUCCCGUGCGGUUGC
rnacentral:rRNA from 1 species